UACGGAGGGGACUAGCGUUGUUCGGAAUUACUGGGCGUAAAGCGCACGUAGGCGGAUUUGUAAGUCGGGGGUGAAAUCCCGGGGCUCAACCUCGGAACUGCCUUUGAUACUGCAAAUCUCGAGUCCGGAAGAGGUGAGUGGAAUUCCUAGUGUAGAGGUGAAAUUCGUAGAUAUUAGGAAGAACACCAGUGGCGAAGGCGGCUAUCUGGACGGUUUCUGACGCUAAGACGCGAAAGCGUGGGGAGCAAACAGG
rnacentral:rRNA from 1 species